rnacentral:rRNA from 1 species
UGGUGGAGUGAUUUGUCUGGUUAAUUCCGAUAACGAACGAGACUCUGUCCUGCUAACUAGGUUGUGUUUUCUCGGGUUGGUGAUCUGGUGUUCCUUCUCGGGGCGCCGGCCCAAUCCACUUGUGAACACAACACUCUUCUUAGAGGGACUGGCGGCUGUUAGCCGCACGAGAUAGAGCAAUAACA